rnacentral:tRNA from 1 species
GGGGAUUUAGCUUAGCAGCACAAGUGCCUGCUUGGCAAGCAGGAGGUCCUGAGUUCAAUCCCCA